UACGUGUGGGUUUCUGUAUGAUGUAGGUUCAUUAAUAGCGGUUUUUUUCUUGACAAUCUCGGUAAUUUGACUAUCCAACCUCUACGUUUCUUGUUACAGUAAUUGCUGAGGUCGUUAAUGGUGUUUCUGUUGCGACUGAGCUUUAGAUCUGGUUGUUGAAACGAAGAGAGCUACCCAUAUGGCUUGCUUAAUUUCUUCGACUUUUUAACUUUCAAAAUUGGAAUUUCGAGCUCUGCUCGAACUUUUCCUGCGUCUCUAUCUUCCUCUUUGAGCUUUGACUCUUUUAGUCCUGCAAGUUUUAUUUUUUUAAUAUAUCUGUUCGUGGUGUUGGUUGGAACUUGGAACUUGGAACUUGGGGAGUUCUUGUUUCUGGUGGAAGAAGAGCUAGGACUUUGCCUUUUUCUCCUUUCCGAGCUCUGCCCGUGUUCUAUCCCUCUUUACAGAGAGUUUUUUCUCGAAGAGUGAAGAAGAGUUCGUGUCCGUCCAAAUGCAUUUGCUUGGGAGCCUUACCAGUGUCCAUACGGACUCCACUUGCAGUGCUUUACUCAGAGAGCUUCAGAUUCCAUCCGAUGAGCAGCACAUAUGGAAUGAGGUCGGUGAGACAGAACUGGAGAAGGACCGCGUGCUGUUGGAACUUGAAAGGGAGUGCCUGCAAGUGUACAGGAGAAAGGUUGAUGAGGCGAGCAAUGCCAGGGCACGCCUCCGUCAGUCUGUUGCGGUCAAGGAAGCAGAGCUUUCAGCGCUUAUGGCUGCUCUUGGGGAGCUUGCCCUUAACACCCAGACACAAACAGACAAGCUUUCUGCAACAUUGAAAGAGCAACUUGCAUCAGUCUCGCCACUGGUAGAAGAUUUGAAAAUGAAGAAAGAGGAACGCAUUAAGCAAUUUUCUGAUCUAAAGGCACAGAUUGAGAAGAUCAGUGGAGAGAUUUCAGGAUACACUCAACCCAAUGGUGCUGUGACCAUGGAAGUACAGGACUUAUCGUUACGAAAGCUUACUGAAUAUCAGACAUGUCUCCAUAACUUGCAAAAGGAAAAGUCUUGUCGCCUUAAUAAAGUUCUGGAGUAUGUGAAUGACGUGCAUUCUUUAUGCGGUGUGCUUGGACUGGAUUUUGGGAAUACUGUGAGUGAAGUGCAUCCAAGCUUACAUGAGGCAGGUCCUGAACAAUCCAGAAAUAUCAGCAACAAAACUUUGGAAGGUCUAGAUCAGGCCAUCCUCAAGUUGAAAACAGAAAGAAAAUCUCGCAUUCAGAAGGUGAAAAAUAUUGUGAGAUCAUUAUUCGAACUUUGGAAUCUGAUGGACUCACCUGAAGAACAGAGAAGUCAUUUUAGAAGCAUUACUUUCAUCCUUGGAUCAUCAGAACCAGAAAUUACAGAGCCUGGGGUUCUGUCUCUAGAUGUUAUUGAGCAGGCGGCAGCUGAGGUUGAGAGGCUGACUAAACUGAAAGCCAGUAGAAUGAAAGAACUGGUCAUGAAAAAGAGGUCCGAGUUGGAGGAAAUAUGCAGAAGAGCACAUAUUGAGCCUGACAAAAGCACAGCUGCUGAAAAGGCUAACGCUUUGAUUGACUCUGGUCUUGUUGAUCCCUCUGAACUUCUGGCAAGUAUUGAAGCACAGAUAACUGAGGCAAAAGAUGAAGCUGCUAGUCGAAAAGAAAUUAUGGAUAGAAUAGACAGGUGGCUUGCAGCCUGUGAGGAGGAAAAUUGGCUAGAAGACUACAACCAGGAUGAGAGUCGGUAUAGCGCAGGAAGAGGUGCUCAUAUAAACCUUAAACAUGCAGAAAAAGCUCGGAUCAUGGUAACCAAGAUUCCAGCAAUGGUAGAGAAUCUGAUCAACAGAACACUAGCCUGGGAAGGUGAACAAAAGAUGUCAUUUCUUUAUGAUGGGGUCCGGUUGGUCUCAUUAUUGGAGGAUUAUAAAGUAACCAGGCAAUUAAGAGAUGAGGAGAAGAAGAAAUGCCGGGAUCAGAAGAAGCUUCAAGAUCUGCUCCUUACCGAGAAGGAAGCCAUGUAUGGGUCUAAGCCAAGCCCAAAAAGAAGCAACAGCUUUAAGAAACUAGAUGGCUAUCGGGCUAAUGGAAAUGGAUCCACAUGCCUCCCACACCACGCCGGAACUCAGUUGGGUGUGCAACACCUAAACUAACGACACCAAGGUCGCACUCUGGGCGUGAAAAUGGAUAUCUCAGGGAAACAAGAAGGUUAUCGACUGCUCCAUUGAACUUCGUGGCCAUUUCUAAAGAAGAUAUAAUGUCAUAUGCAUUCACAUCUGUUUGUGGUUCUGAGCCGGGGUCUUCUCCUCAAGGAUUGAACUAGUUUCUGUAUACUGGAUUGAAGCGGCAUAAAACCUUGUGAAUAAGAAAAGAAUGUACACUAGCGUUUGAUUGUGAUUUGUUAGGUGUUCAGAGGUAGUUAGUAGUUUGGAACUACUGGUUAAUUUUUUGUUUGUGUCUUUCAAAAUAAGGGCUAAAUAUGGAAUGGUGUAGUACUGACCACAUAGUUUUGAGGGUUUGUUUAU